CACAAGUGACGCUGUGUCAAAGCUGGGAAGCCGGAGCGCGAUCCUCGGCAGGAGAAUGAGGACGGAAGCCCGGCUGGUACGCUCGCAUUCGUUGGCCACAUUGUGCGCUUAAGGUGGACCGAAGAUGGCGACGAGCGAAUCAGACUGAGCUGGGCGGUCAACAGAUGGGUGGAUGACGGCUCAACUCCGCAUCAGGCGGCAGUGAUGGAUGUCUGACCUCCAGGCGACAACACUGAGACACCGAGCAAUUGAGAUAUCUCUUUGAAAACUCACUCUUUCUCCUCAUCACUGAUCAGACACUAAAGAAACACUCAAAAACACAGAAGUUCAGUAGAAUUUAACAAGUAAAACUUUAUUGGAAUGAUACUCAUGUUGCAAAAUAUUACACUUCGUGUUUUCUGUCACUUCCCUCGUGACCUAGACGCUUCCUUUUGCAGUGUGUGACUGACUGCGUGUGUGUGUGUGUGUGUGUGUGUGUGUGUGUGUGUGUGUGUGUGUGUGUGUGUGUGUGGAGGGGGGGUUAACAUGGUUUACAUUGGGGUCUCAUUUCCCUAAAAAGUGCGACAGUAUGUA